GAGCCCAAUUCAAACAUAACGGGCCUAAUGAACUCGAUCUCAAACAGAGUUCUCUCGAAUACAUUCGAAUCCGAACGAAGCUCGAACUAAAUAGUAGUUCAAAACAAUCGAUCUCGAACAAUAACGUGUUCGAUCGUAUCCGAUUCAUUAACCGCCUUAAAGCCUAUCCAAAAAAAUUAUAUAUAAAUCAGUUCAUACACA
rnacentral:lncRNA from 1 species